UACGUAGGGGGCAAGCGUUGUCCGGAUUUAUUGGGCGUAAAGAGCGUGUAGGCGGCCAGACAGGUCCGUUGUGAAAACUCGAGGCUCAACCUCGAGAUGUCGGUGGAAACCGUCUGGCUAGAGUCCGGAAGAGGAGUGUGGAAUUCCUGGUGUAGCGGUGAAAUGCGCAGAUAUCAGGAGGAACACCAAUGGCGAAGGCAGCUCGCUGGGACGUGACUGACGCUGAGACGCGAAAGCGUGGGGAGCAAACAGG
rnacentral:rRNA from 1 species